rnacentral:tRNA from 1 species
GCCCUUGUAGCUCAGUUGGUAGAGCGCCUGAUUUGUAAUCAGGAUGUCGUGGGUUCGAAUCCUGCCGGGGGCACCA